CUCUUCUUACCUCCUCUUACUCCCUGCUCCCUCCUCCCAACUCCUCAUCGGUGGAGCCUGAGAGACAACAAGAGGUCCUGGGUCCCAGCCUCCCUGCCAGAAGCUGCUGAGAUCGGUCUAGUGGGGAGGCUGCCUGGAUGUCCUGUCCUGGAGGACCUGUGUGCGCCUGGCCCCUCAGAGUUCCAGCCCAUUCCUGCCUGUUUCCCGUUUUCCCCCAGCCCUGGAACCUCACUUCUUUCCAGAGAAAGCGAAUUGGGCAUCAGAUCAGCUCUGCUCAGAGCCUCGGAGAGCACAGCUGAGGAGACAGUGGCAGGCAGGAAGGCUGCUAUGGUGGUGCAGGCCGGGCCUUCCGAAGGACAGAGACACGGGGAGACAAGGCGGGCUCUGGAUUCCCAUCCCCAGGCUGCUCAUACAGAGGGAGAUGCCCCAGAAACCCUCAUCUAGCAGAAGCUGUGAUCUGUCAGCUCCUCCCAGUGAACACCGGAAGCCACAGCACAGCAGCAGCAGCAGCAGCAGCAGCAGCAGCAGCGUGGUCACCUGAAUCCAGCUGCCCUGGUUGUGGCUCAUGGGCUGUGUUACCUGGGGUUUCAGGGCUACUGGACCCACUCAGCCUGCGGAGUUGUAAGUGGAAGAGACUGGAGUGGGCCAGGCCACCCGCUUCUCAGCAGAAGAUGCUAACAACUUCACAGUGGGUCUGCCCAGCCCAGCCUCCUUUCCUGAUUCUCCCCCGAAGUUCUCUUCACUCCAGGCACAGCAGUCCUUGCUCUUCACUUUCUGGGAUGGAGCAGACUGUUUUCAUGGCACGAGGCCUGAUGGAGAUUGAGUAGGGACAGAAAACUAGGACUAAUUUUGCAAACUUGGGAGAACUGAUCCACGUGAGUCCUUCUAAGGUCUAGGUCAUCCUAGGAGAGGGGUCCAAGCUGGCUCCAUCCCAGGUGGGUUCUCCGUGGUCCUAUCUGAAGACUCAUCUUGUCUCUCCGCUCGCUGGUCCUCUUUCCUCCAAAUUUCCUGCCUUGCCUGGUACGGUCUAUGCAAAUCCAGGGACUGGACCCCCAGUAUGUCCCAAGAAUAUAUAUAAGCUGGACUAAUUCUGUUUUCCAGAGAGCGGGGAACAUUAUUUUUCCACCAGUACAUUCGUUGCCUCCUAUGGCAGCCUCUAUCUCUGAGUGCUGUGAUGAAGAAAUCAGGUCCUGAUUAAAGGAAGGUGACACCAUUCUGAGAUCUUGUUUCUUUGUUCCCAGAGAUUACAGGGAGCAUGGAGGAUGAGGAAUAAAAGGAGAAAAAGUAGGAG
ensembl:lincRNA